UGGGGAAUCUUCCGCAAUGGACGAAAGUCUGACGGAGCAACGCCGCGUGAGUGAAGACGGCCUUCGGGUUGUAAAGCUCUGUUAUUCGGGAAGAACGAUUCGUUUGUGAACAAUGAACGGAAGUGACGGUACCGAAAGAGAAAGCCACGGCUAACUACGUGCCAGCAGCCGCGGUAAUACGUAGGUGGCAAGCGUUGUCCGGAAUUAUUGGGCGUAAAGAGCGCGUAGGCGGUAUGGUAAGUCUGUCUUAGAAGUGCGGGGCUUAACCCCGUGAGGGGACAGAGACUGUCAUACUGGAGUCUCGGAGAGGAAAGCGGAAUUCCUAGUGUAGCGGUGAAAUGCGUAGAGAUUAGGAAGAACACCGGUGGCGAAGGCGGCCACCUGGACCGGUAUUGACGCUGAGGUGCGAAAGCGUGGGGAGCAAACAGG
rnacentral:rRNA from 1 species